GACGUAGGGCGCGAGCGUUGUCCGGAUUUAUUGGGCGUAAAGAGCUCGUAGGCGGCUUGUCGCGUCGUCUGUGAAAUCCCGCGGCUCAACCGCGGGUCUGCAGUCGAUACGGGCAGGCUAGAGUUCGGUAGGGGAGACUGGAAUUCCUGGUGUAGCGGUGAAAUGCGCAGAUAUCAGGAGGAACACCGGUGGCGAAGGCGGGUCUCUGGGCCGAUGACUGACGCUGAGGAGCGAAGGCCAGGGGAGCAAACGGG
rnacentral:rRNA from 1 species